AUCCCAGAUAAUGUUGCCUUUGUGAUUAUCUGAUUCAUGGGAGGCAAAUACCUAAUGGGAGUUCGCUGAUAACACUUCUGGUCUUUGUUAGUGUUUUACUAGCUAGUACCUCACCGUACAUGU
rfam:Populus trichocarpa isolate Nisqually-1 chromosome 5, whole genome shotgun sequence.